GGGAUAUUGCACAAUGGGCGCAAGCCUGAUGCAGCCAUGCCGCGUGUGUGAAGAAGGCCUUCGGGUUGUAAAGCACUUUCAGUCGUGAGGAAGGUAGUGUAGUUAAUAGCUGCAUUAUUUGACGUUAGCGACAGAAGAAGCACCGGCUAACUCCGUGCCAGCAGCCGCGGUAAUACGGAGGGUGCGAGCGUUAAUCGGAAUUACUGGGCGUAAAGCGCAUGCAGGUGGUUUGUUAAGUCAGAUGUGAAAGCCCGGGGCUCAACCUCGGAAUAGCAUUUGAAACUGGCAGACUAGAGUACUGUAGAGGGGGGUAGAAUUUCAGGUGUAGCGGUGAAAUGCGUAGAGAUCUGAAGGAAUACCGGUGGCGAAGGCGGCCCCCUGGACAGAUACUGACACUCAGAUGCGAAAGCGUGGGGAGCAAACAGGAUUAGAUACCCUGGUAGUCCACGCCGUAAACGAUGUCUACUUGGAGGUUGUGGCCUUGAGCCGUGGCUUUCGGAGCUAACGCGUUAAGUAGACCGCCUGGGGAGUACGGUCGCAAGAUUAAAACUCAAAUGAAUUGACGGGGGCCCGCACAAGCGGUGGAGCAUGUGGUUUAAUUCGAUGCAACGCGAAGAACCUUACCUACUCUUGACAUCCAGAGAACUUUCCAGAGAUGGAUUGGUGCCUUCGGGAACUCUGAGACAGGUGCUGCAUGGCUGUCGUCAGCUCGUGUUGUGAAAUGUUGGGUUAAGUCCCGCAACGAGCGCAACCCUUAUCCUUGUUUGCCAGCGAGUAAUGUCGGGAACUCCAGGGAGACUGCCGGUGAUAAACCGGAGGAAGGUGGGGACGACGUCAAGUCAUCAUGGCCCUUACGAGUAGGGCUACACACGUGCUACAAUGGCGCAUACAGAGGGCGGCCAACUUGCGAAAGUGAGCGAAUCCCAAAAAGUGCGUCGUAGUCCGGAUUGGAGUCUGCAACUCGACUCCAUGAAGUCGGAAUCGCUAGUAAUCGUGGAUCAGAAUGCCACGGUGAAUACGUUCCCCGGGCCUGUA
rnacentral:rRNA from 1 species